rfam:Sugiyamaella lignohabitans strain CBS 10342 mitochondrion genome.
GAUAGGUUUCGAUUAUUGGUACAUCGAGUUAAGCUGUAGACUUAAUGGCAAACGGCCGUUAUGAGUUCGAUUCUCAUCCUAUUCA